GGUUGGCUCCUGUCGACGUCACUUGGCAUUAGAAGAAGAGUGUGCCAAGUCAUGUGUGUGCUACAAAGACGCUGAGUACACAACAACUAAGAACAAUUCCUGUGCAGUGCGUUCCUUAUGGCGAUAUAACAGUUUGUGAACGAUUGGCAAAAAUCCAAAACAAGUGCAGUUCCCCUUCAAGGCCCUGAUACAACAGCCCCACUUACAGCAAGGAAGCGGAAUUUCUUGAGGAGUCCGGAUACGACGAAGGAGUCGCAGAGAUACAGCAGCAAGCCACUGAACUGCAGGCCCUGAUGGUUGAGAUUUAGCUGGUGUGCCUAAUGAAGUGACCGGUGCAGGUGUUUACCAACCAACCUUGGUGGAGAUCAGAGGCAGACGCAUGCUCUCCAGGUGGCUUCCCUGUUGACUGAAGACAAAGUGCUGCUCCUUGUCUUUGGGAAUGACAAACUGGAGCUGGACCUCCUCCCCCAGCAUGGACGAGCAGAAGGUGAAGUUCCUGGGCAGGUUAAGUUCGGAAGCAGGGCUUCCCAGUAGCACGGCGAAGCACAGCUGGAGGCCCAGCUUGUCCCGCACGUCUUCCAGCCGCUCCCGGGCCAGCAUGGCCAGUUGCAGCGAAGGCACGCGGACCAGCAGCAUGUGGCCCCGCCCCUGGGAGCCCUCCCUGCCGGGGGCGUUGAUCAAGUCCUCCACCAUGGCCAGCGUCUCCGGUGUGAUGUGGUCUCUCAGGGACGGCGAAGAGGUGAGCGCCAUCAUGGCCUCUGUGUACUGCUGGAUGAGCAGGUAGCUGCGAAUCACCAUGCUGUGCAGCAACGUGUGCACCAUCUUCUCAAAGGCAUCGUCGCAGCGCAGGAUGGGGCUGGCCACGCCCCACUGCAGGGAUCUGCUGUAGUCCAUCAGGCCGAAGUAGACCAACUCGCCAGAAGAGAGCACUCCUUGCUGGAAGAUGCAACAAAACACCUUAUCUAUAAUCAGUAAUGGACCAAAAAUAGCUCGCUGUCUCUUCCAAGGAGGCUUUCAUUGGAGGGCCAGUGCACCUCGUUGUGGACGCUGAUGCGUGACUGGUGCGUCUGCAACGUGUACGGGAAGCAGCUGACCUGCAAGACCAGCAGGUUCACCGCCUCCAGGACCUCCUGGCAAUUGACGACUCUGUCAGCCAGACCCUGCAGCUCGCCGUGGCACACAGAGCCCGACAGAGCGCUGGAUACGGUGGUGACAUGCUGGCAGCCUCCUGUGAGUGGAUGUAGUCAGUGACAUCGCCCUGGAAGGGCUGGAUGACCUGGCCUUUCCGUCGGCGCUGAUACCGCACCAGCUGCUUGUCCAGAUUGUCCCCUGUGAAAACAAGCAGUCCCCAUGCUCACCUAGACGUGCCAGAUACUGCAGCGUAAGAAGAAUCAUGGUCUCCACGCUCAGCAGUUGGCUGCUGCUCAGGCCCAGAGUCUCCAAGGUUUUCUCCGUCAACUGGCUGUUCUUAUAGCAGCCCACCAGCAGUGGGCUCACCACCAAAUCCCCAAUGUUGCCGUAGAAAUAAGGUCCUGACUGCCAAAAGAGACGGAAGAGGCUGACGUCAUUCUGGUUGGUGGAGAAUCUAAUACCAGGGGGCACUCCACUGACCCUCCAUGUUGCCGGGAUACGACUCCGGCUUCAGGUAGAGCUGCGUGAAGAUGGGCUGUGGAUCUCCGCUGCUGGAGCGCAGAGAUGCCUCGAUAGAAUUGUGAAGAGCCUCUUCGAAUCGAGCAGACUUCAGCUGCCCGGCGUAUGAGUUUCCCAUGAUCUGAGGAGUAAAAGGAGGUCCACCCUUGGACAUCUGUCAGGCCUUGUGUGUGGGCUGAAGGUUGGUGGCAUUCUCAACAUGUGCUCCACUAAAUAUGCGUGUGAAAUUUGGAACUCCCAUUAUUUACAAAAACGGGGGUAGCUCAGGCACCAGCUAAAACAAGACAAGAGCUGUGUCAAAAAAUCUGCCUCAGAGUUUUAUUACAGUAGUUCAAGUUCAUUUUGUAAGUACAAUAUGUAGAAUAUAAUUUGUAUUGUAUGAACUGUUUCUAAAAUAUUUUCCUUCUACUAUAGCUAAAUUGAUAAUACAGUCAUUCCUCGUUUAUAGCUGCUAAUUGGUUCCGCGUCUGAAUGAAUUUCCGCAAAGUGGAAUCAAAUAUUUUCAUAGCCAGAGCAUAAAAAUCCUUGUUUAUGACAUUCCAAAUACAUUCUUUAACAUUAUGAAAGCCCCUUAGAUGUAAAAAUACAUCCAUAUUGUCACAUAUACAAACAUUUAAUCCAAUAUAGUAAUGUGGGCUGAGACUGAGCCUAUCAGUGGCAACGAUACUGAACAGCGCGCUCUGAUUAAUUUGGUCUCAUCUAGAGUCCAAUACUACUGUCUGUCCUGCUGAUAUUUUUUAAUUCAUUCAGCCAUAGUUUAUGAUUAAAAUGCUUAAUUUAGUCAAAAAAAAUUUAUAAAAUGCUUUAAGAAAAUCUGCUAUGGAGUAAAGCAGCAUACUUUGAAGUGCGAUGUGGUGAGGGAUGACUAUUGAUUUUUGAUCAAGUAUAACCAAUAGCCUUGUGUAUCAUAAUCUAAUUUCAGUUGAUUUCAUGCCAAAUAUAUAAAUAUAUGUUUUAAACAGUUGUAUUUUUAAAAUAUUUUUAUGAUUAUUCAUCAUAUCCUCUUCAUCAUUUGCUAAGUAAAUUGAGUAUUUUUUUUUAAAUAUAGUGUAAAAGAUGAAAGUCCAUAAUUAUUAUAAUUGGUUUCAUACGUGCAAAAAAUGUAACUGUCACAUGCUAGCAGCACCAGUUUUACAAUCAAUCAAUCAAUUAAUCAAUCAUAGUGUAUUUAUAUAGCCCUUAAUCACAAAUGCCUCAAAGGGCUGCACAAACCACGACAUCCUCGGCUCUGAUCCCACAUCCGGGAAAGAAAAAACUUAACCCAAUGGGAACAAUAAGGGAAGAUUAUUACAAUACAUUUUUAAAAUAUUAUUUUUCUUAUAUUCCAUCCAUCCAUUUUCUACCGCUUGUCUCUUUUGAGGUCGCGGGGGGUGCUGGAGCCUAUCUCAGCUGCAUUCGGGCGGAAGCCGGGGUACACCCUGGACAAGUCGCCACCUCAUACCAGGGCCAACAAAGAUAGACAGACAAUAUUCACACUCACAUUCACACACUUAUUUUAAUUAAAACAUUUUAUGGAUUUAUGAGAGAUAUUAGCUGAAUGCGUCACACACAGAUUAGAUUAGAAAAUCUGAUUGGUAAAGAGUUGCUAUAUGUGUAACACUCAGCCAAUCAUCAACUACAGUAGGGAAGGGAUUCAUAUGGUCUCAUUCCUGGGUGGAUCUCACAUGAAAGGAAGAGGCGAUGGGGGUUAAUCAUUUUGCAAUGCAGUCUGCUGAAAAUGACGGAAAGCGGCCCCUCUGCAUAGACACUGACGCUGUGGUCAAAGUUGGAAUUGCCAUAAAACACAUUUUGAGUUUUUCAACACUACUGACGUCUGACGGCUAAAGUGAAUAGUGCACCCCCCAAUUUGUCAUGUUUCUUGGGGCCAUCUUAAUCCCCUUCCUAUACUGUUGUAGCGAGUAGUUAAGCCCACACAGAUAUUUAACAUUUUUGACAAGCCCCUCUGCCCCACGCCUGGACAGGUUUCUCUGCGUUUACCUAAGAGCCAACCUGGGGAGGAAUCUAAGCAGGCCAGACAAAAGACAAGAUUAACAGUGGCUGAUUGUGCUGUCAGAGAGAUAAGCAGCUUAACAGAACCACACUACAGUAUUUAACUGAUGCAGGAAGGUGACUGCACGCUGAGACAAAGACAGAUGGACUAAAAAGAAGGAAAAUUAAGGCCUGAGGGUGUUUUUAAGCAGCCACUGCCUGUUCAAUUGUGAAGUCAAAAAAGGGCUCCGGAGGCCUGUUUGGCCCCAGCUGACCCUCAAGCCCCAGUGGGCAGAUUUGUCAUUAACCUCCUUGAACGCGCACAGCGACCUUUCAUCACCUGCGUGGCUUAAAACAAAGCGUCACUGCGGCAGAGACCGUGCCAACCGAUGUUUUAGAGGUGUCGUUCGGCCGCCAGCCGAGGCGAUCUGCGCUUGAUGGAUCACGCGUUUGCAGUAGCGAGGUACUUCAAAGACGGUGGAAGACACAAAAAAGGUGGGGUGUUGGAUGUCAGCCAAUCAGAGGAGCAGUCAAGGUCGUUUUCUUGCUUCUGGGUGGCGGUGACAGAUUGCGUGAAUGUGACCCCGUGGUCAAAGCAGGACUGUUAAGUCACAGAGAGGAGGCGCACUUUCAGGAUCUCUCCAAACAGCAGUGGGUGCAAGUAUUACCAGGCCAGCUGCUUUCCAGCCGAAGGGAAGUAGAUAAUAUGCCAAUAUACAGCAAAGUUUGGCGCAGGACCAUUAGAAGCAGGAAAAUAACUUAACUGGGAACGCUGCGGUACUUUAUAAACAGAGGAGUGAAAGGUCGGUGAAGUAAAGUUCCAAAGACAAAGGCAAGGUUAGCUCACCACUACAGUCAUUGUUGUUGGUAAAUACUGCAGUAUUGCUACACAUACAUUGUACCACAGUCAUGUAUACUGAGUGCAAGUGUACCACAGUCAUGUAUACUGAGUGCAAAGUUAGCACCAUCCAUCCAUCCAUCCAUCUUCUUCCGCUUAUCCGAGGUCGGGUCGCGGGGGCAGCAGCUUAAGCAGGGAAGCCCAGACUUCCCUCUCUCCAGCCACCUGUCCAGCUCCUCCCGGGUGAUCCCGACUCGUUCCCAGGCCAGCCGGGAGACAUAGUCUUCCCAACGUGUCCUGGGUCUUCCCCGUGGCCUCCUAUCGGUCGGACGUGCCCUAAACACCUCCCUAGGGAGGCGUUCGGGUGGCAUCCUGACCAGAUGCCCGAACCACCUCAUCUGGCUCCUCUCGAUGUGGAGGAGCAGCGGCUUUACUUUGAGCUCCCCCCGGAUGGCAGAGCUUCUCACCCUAUCUCUAAGGGAGAGCCCCGCCACCCGGCGGAGGAAGCUCAUUUCGGCCGCUUGUACCCGUGAUCUUGUCCUUUCGGUCAUAACCCAAAGCUCAUGACCAUAGGUGAGGAUGGGAACGUAGAUCGACCGGUAAAUUGAGAGCUUUGCCUUCCGGCUCAGCUCCUUCUUUACCACAACGGAUCGAUACAGCGUCCGCAUUACUGAAGAUGCCGCACCGAUCCGCCUGUCGAUCUCACAAU